UGGGGAAUAUUGCACAAUGGGCGCAAGCCUGAUGCAGCCAUGCCGCGUGUAUGAAGAAGGCCUUCGGGUUGUAAAGUACUUUCAGCGAGGAGGAAGGCGUUGUGGUUAAUAAACGCAACGAUUGACGUUACUCGCAGAAGAAGCACCGGCUAACUCCGUGCCAGCAGCAGCGGUAAUACGGAGGGUGCAAGAGUUAAUCGGAAUUACUGGGCGUAAAGCGCACGCAGGCGGUCUGUCAAGUCGGAUGUGAAAUCCCCGGGCUCAACCUGGGAACUGCAUCCGAAACUGGCAGGCUAGAGUCUUGUAGAGGGGGGUAGAAUUCCAGGUGUAGCGGUGAAAUGCGUAGAGAUCUGGAGGAAUACCGGUGGCGAAGGCGGCCCCCUGGACAAAGACUGACGCUCAGGUGCGAAAGCGUGGGGAGCAAACA
rnacentral:rRNA from 1 species